CGGAGGGAGAAGACAAGAGCCUGGAGUCCGGGUUACAGGAGCCUGGAUCUAGCUGGAUGGAGGGUGGGGAGGAACAGAGAGAAAUAUGGGGGGGGGGGUGGCGGGGGUGUGCACGUGAAGGAAUUCACACUUCACAGUCUCCGUGUUCUCAGCGAAUCACCAAACUGGUCAUUCCCGAGAAAAAAGGAGGGAGAUGAGGUAGCCACAACUGACCCCCACAACCGUAUCGGUAACGCUGCAGCCACGGUUCCCAGGAGCGCGCCACACCUUCCUAACGUAAUCAUCGCCAUCAUUCCCUGCGGCAGAUACUGUUCCACGCAUCUUACAGACGGAGACGGUCCUCGGUCAAAGCCACACAGCUCAUCCGAGCUGGGCGGGGAGGCAAGCGCGUCCGACCACCGCGCCUGUACUCCCGGCCACUACAGAGCGGUACGCGCGCACUCAGACACACAACGGAUGCACACACACGCAGGUUAACGCCAAGAGAGCCUGGUUACCCAGAUAUCAGCAUUCAGACACUCUGGGGAUGACGGUUGUGGAGUGAGCCCAGGAAUGCUCAGAUCAGCACAUCUAGCGGAGACAGCGGCGGAAGUGGGCUCCUGGCGCCGUUCGCGGUGCUGAACCGGUCAGGCCUGAGCUGUCCGUGGUGCUGAAUUGCUAGGCGGGCCGGCUGGAGAGGGCUCUAGCUCUCUCUACCCCCCUGCCUCUCUAUGCCUCUCUCUGUGUCUCUCCCCACGCCUGCCCAUUUCCUCCUCUUGCCACCCUCACCCUUUCUCCCCCUCUUUUUCAAAGAACCCAUCUGCCUGUGGAAAGUCCUGCUGUUGCCUGGAAACAAAGCUCUCUGGGCUUUGGGGAGCACGGGAUGAAAGCAGAUGAGGGUGAAAACAGCAGAAUCAUUUUUAGGAGGAAGCUUUGGCUCUUAGAACAGCAGGGCCUGAUUACAACCUGACUGGAAUUACUAACGCAGAGUUUCCAAAGCAUCUCUGAGAGGAAAAUGUACAAAAAGGAAAACAGGGAAUCCCUGGGUGGCUCAGCGGUUUAGCGCCUGCCUUUGGCCCAGGGCGCGAUCCUGGAGUCCUGGGAUCGAGUCCCGUGUCGGGCUCCCGGCAUGGAGCCUGCUUCUCCCUCCUCCUGUGUCUCUGCCUCUCUCUCUCUCUGUCUAUCAUAAAUAAAUAAAUAAAAAUUUUUUUUUUUUAAAAAAAAAGGAAAACAAAGAAAAGGUGCCCAGGAUUCAGGAUGAUGGUUAUCUUGGGCUGGGUGGAAACAAGGGAGUGUUAUAUAUAAGUAUAUGUGAGUUAUUGGCAAGAAUCUAGUUUUUAUGUUGUGAGGUGGGGUCACAAGAAGGAUAUUAUUGUAGAUUAAUAUAAAUACAGCAUGGUUAUAUUUUAUGCUAACUUGAAUUAUAAACAUUUGAAAUCAUGAGCAUUGGGGGCAUUUUUGAAAUGAGAAGACUUAUAAUUUAAAAUCUUUAAAAAUUCAUACUUUUGAAUGUGACCAAUUAUGUCCAUUGUAAACUCUGCUUGUUAUUAUGUUAUCACUUUAGCUAGUACAGAUACAUGGCAACCACUUUCAUGAGAAUUAGUCUUAAAUUAUGUGAGUUUUGAAUUGUCCAAGGUCUUCAAGAAUGAGUCCCUGGCAUAAAAUCUAACCACUGUGGGAUUAAUGACUGAAUGAAUGAAUGUUUGUUUUUCCCAAAGAUCUGGUCAACAGGGAAGCCAUAUAUGCUUCUAUCACUCAAGAGACAGACAUUCAUAAAGCACCCACUAUGUGCUGGCCAUUGCAGGGGACAUCCAGGAUACCUGAGGCAUAUCCUCUUCCCCUAAGAGAAUGAUUUCCACACCUUUUCAAGAGGCAGGAAGGUUUGAGCCUCUGAUAUGAGCUCUUUGAUCAGCUAGAGUCACUGAUGUCUGACUCUUACCUACUCUUCUCUCUCUCGUGAAGGUGUUGGCCUGAUGGGUUUUGAUAUUCCAAAUUCUCUAAAGAAGCUGGCGCUCAUUACAUUAUAUACAUAUUUUUCUUACUUAAAGUCUGCCUCACCUUCUAAAAUAUAGACUCCUGGAUAGUAGGGACUGUGUGUUUCUAAUUCAUCCUUGAGCCUCUAGCCUUUAGAACAUUGUUUGACACAUACUGGAUGUUCUAUGAAUGGCUUUUUUUAAGGGUUGAAUGAAUGAAAAGUGAUGUUUGUAAACACAAAAUAUCCCAAUAUCUCAAUUAUGGUAACUCAUUAAGUGAAAAAGAAGAUGAGUGAACUGAA
rnacentral:lncRNA from 1 species